AAAAAUCUAUUUCAUCCUUAUCAACAAAGAAUUGAACAUGUACCUUUUAAAAAAGAUACUGUUCCAUGAGGAGGAGAUGCAGUGUCCUCUUCUGAGCGUGAAGCCGGUCUUUGGUGUUGCUUCUGCAGCUGCCAUUGGCCAUUGAUGAUCGUUCUUCUCUUCUCUUCUUUUUGGGAGAGUAAGGGGGAGAGGACACCGUCUGAGUGGU